rnacentral:rRNA from 1 species
UACAGAGGUGGCAAGCGUUGUUCGGAAUUACUGGGCGUAAAGGGCGCGUAGGCGGCCAUCUAAGUCAGACGUGAAAUCCCCCGGCUUAACCUGGGAACUGCGUCUGAUACUGGACGGCUGGAGUUUGGGAGAGGGAUGUAGAAUUCCAGGUGUAGCGGUGAAAUGCGUAGAUAUCUGGAGGAAUACCGGUGGCGAAGGCGGCAUCCCGGACCAAUACUGACGCUGAGGCGCGAAAGCUAGGGGAGCAAACGGG